ACUCCUUAAACAUCUGGACUGAUUAGGAGUUUGUUUACUGUGACAUUUAAAUGUAUAGCUAGAAAUGUGUCCAAAAUAAGAGACAAGAUCAGUUAUAUUUUCAAAUAAGCACAAUUUAUAAUGGGUUUUGAUUAUAUCUUUAAUGUAGCUGUCCAAAUUAAUUAAAGCAAUUAGCAAGCUUUUCAAGGAAUUAGGAAUAGGACUGGACUAGAGCAGGUAUUCUUGGCCCUAGUCUUGGAACCCUGCUCAUUUUUGUUCAAAAUGUGCUUAUGUCCCAUUCAUGUAGAUAAUGUACUUGGGAGCAGCAUCAGACAACAAAGCAUCCACUGCUCUAUGCUUUUUCCUUCAGUCUGUGGAGAAGUACGGUGUUCCAAACAGGGUUAGAGCAGACCAAGGCUGUGAAAAUGUUGAUAUUGCUAGAUGGAUGUUUACAGUCCGUGGCUGUGGGAGAGGCAGCUUCAUGUCAGGCAAAAGCGUUCAUAAUCAAAAAAUUGAGCGCCUGUGGAGAGACCUGUGGGUGGCAGUCACCAGUACCUACUACGACGUGCUUCAUAGUUUGGAGGAAGAGGGCUUGCUGGAUCUGGCUGACAGCAUUCACCUGUUUGCUGUACACUACGUCUUCCUGCCUCGGCUUCAAGCUGACCUUGAAAACUUCUCUGCUGCUUGGGACAACCAUCCUCUGCAGACAGAACAAAACCUAACCGCCAACCAACUGUGGGAGAUGGGCUACAUUCAAAAUCCCAUACCACCCCCCCCCCCCCCCCCCCUGUGUAAUCUCUACAUAAAUAUUACAUGAAUUGUUAGGUUAGUGUUAACAAUUGUUUUGAGAACUCCAGUUUGAAAUGGGAUGUAGUGAAUGAUCAUAACUAGUACUAACCUUUGUUUAAUAGCCCACCUCCGUUUGCUCCGUUUGCUCAGCCUUCAGCAAUCCAGCUAUUGACAUUUCCCCCAAGCAGGUUUACAAUUCUAGCUAUAGGGCAUAGCCUUGGAAUGGAGGUGGGCUAUUCAACAAAGUUGUCCUUCAAGUGUAACUCUGAAAAACAUUAUGGAGUAACGCAUUGCUUCUAUACAGGGUCUCUUUGACAUCGAGAUUGAAAGCCAACAGGCGGAAGUGAAUGCAGGAAUUGUGCUGCCAUCGGUGGCAUGCCCUCUUAACAGCGAAGGCCUAGAAGAACUUGCCCAAUUGAUUAACACCAGUGGGCCAUCCCAAGACCAUGGUCGAGACAUUUACAUUUCUGUCUUAAACUAUGUUUUGCAUGAAAACACAGUGUAAAAUUAAGUUACUUGUACUAAGCCAGUGGUGUUGAACAGAAACUUUAGUUUUAGUAAGACAUGUUUUUAAUAAGAAGAUCAAAACUGUACAAAAAUAAUAUUUUAAUGGUUUUUGAACAUUUAAUGUUUUGUUAUGCAAUGUACAUGUAACGUUUUGUUACACUAUUAAACAUAAAAUGACAAACUGCCA